rnacentral:rRNA from 1 species
UACGUAGGGGGCAAGCGUUAAUCGGAAUUACUGGGCGUAAAGCGUGCGCAGGCGGCUUUGCAAGACAGAUGUGAAAUCCCCGGGCUUAACCUGGGAACUGCAUUUGUGACUGCAUGGCUGGAGUGCGGCAGAGGGGGAUGGAAUUCCGCGUGUAGCAGUGAAAUGCGUAGAUAUCGAGAGGAACACCUGCGGCGAAGGCGGGUUGCUGGGCUGACACUGACGCUGAUGCGCGAAAGCUAGGGGAGCGAACGGG